rnacentral:rRNA from 1 species
ACUGGAAUAACAGUUGGAAACAGCUGCUGAUGCCGGAUACGACCUUCGGUGGCAUCACCUGGAGGUGGAAAGUGCUUAGCGGUCAAGGAUGGGCUCGCGGCCUAUCAGCUAGUUGGUGAGGUAACGGCUCACCAAGGACUUCGACGGGUAGCCGGCCUGAGAGGGCGACCGGCCGGACUGGGACUGAUAUAUGGCCCAGACUCCUACGGGAGGCAGCAGUGGGGAAUAUUGCACAAUGGGCGCAAGCCUGAUGCAGCAACG